AAUAACAGAGAGCACGCCAGUGAUCAUAAGAAGAAAAAUUCACAUUUAAAGUUUGGAAAGCAACAGGACAAAGGGAGUAUCCUAUGAAGAUGGUCUCAAAGCACUUUGAGAUGAACAGAAUGUUCUAUAAAUGGGAAUUGAAAAUAAUCAAGACAUUCAUGGAUCCAAACAGGCCACAGAAAUACCAUAGCAACAAAUGAACAAUAAUUGCUGCAUUAUGGGCUCUUUCCCCAGCUGCACUCAUGCAAUCAAAGCUCUGCUGCAUCUUCAGAAGGAGCCCAGGUCAGGUCUGGCUGCCAUCACCCAUGAGGAAGACGUGCAGAGCCAGACAGAUGCCUGGAGGAAAGACACCCCACAUCCAAGCCAGUUCAUCCAAGUCACCCGAUAAUGAUGUGCUCUAAAGAAACUACCUGUUGCAGCAAACUCCUUACCUUACUGGACGCGUAGCGAUGGCCAGCGCAGGAUGAGGCCGUGGGAGGAUUUAAAUGACACAGUCCACCCUGCAAACCAAGGUCAACAAGGCGGCAGGAAAGCCCUCUGGCCUCACCCUGCUCAUUGAUGAGUCCACUAGCUCGACACACCCAGUUAGUGGGGGCAUCUUCUCCAACGGUGGGGAGGACUGCAGUGGGGGCAGCUGCGGAGAUGGCAGAAUCUUUCCUGCGGGAUUCUGGAAUGUUGUAUCCCCUCUGGAAGAGACACAAGGAGUGAGGGCGACACUGGGAAGGGUGUGGGAGGGAGAACCUUCCUUACUGCCUGGCGUCCCUCAGGGGCCAGUGACCAACCUUAUUAGCCACCUCUGUGCAUUCAACCGCUUCCUCUCUCCUGAGGCAGCCAGAGCCUGAAUAUCUCAGCAAGGCAUUAAGAAAGGCUUUAAUAAUUGAUUUAAUUAAAGUCUAAAAAUUAUAGAACCAGCUCCUAUGCGUUGAGUGAUUUCAGAGCUCUCCUUUCCUUUGCCGUCUUCGAAGGGUAAUCUGGAUGCUGGAGGGUUGCUCUCUGGCUUGACAAACUCAGUUUGUUUCCAUAGUUACAAAACACUUGUGCUCUUCCCGACCCACAAUCCAUCAGGAGGGGU
rnacentral:lncRNA from 1 species